UCUCAGCCAUGUCCUUGUUGAAGCAGGAGAGAGGUGCCCUCUAAAUGUUUGCAAGCGUCGCCAAACUGCUGCGUGGGUCUGCGCUCUGACCGGGAAAGUGGACGGGUCCUAUUUUUUCUCACUUUUUUUUUUUCUCACUUUUUGAUCUGUGAUGGGUGUGAUAGAUUGUUUCAGUCUCAUCCAUGUCUCCCCCUCGAGCAGGCCUUCCUUCCGCAGAGGCUGGAACAGGAACUGCAUUGCUCACGUCCCUCGCCGCUGGUUUCCGGAUGCCGGGUGGGUCUGACAGUUUGCCUCUCAUCAGAGUCGGAGCGAGAAGGGUGAGGCCCCUCCUUGCGGCUCGGCCACUUCCCGCAGCGCGCACGGCAGCAGGCGUGCGGGUUCGCGCAGUCCCACUCUGCUCCAGUCGCUGGUCCUUUUGUGGUGAUGGCAGCAGCAGCCUCCUGGGUGAGCCCGGCACCUGGGGGCCAGUUUCUAGGCCGUGCUCUGGUGGACGUUCCUAGAGGCCCAGCCUGGAGCCCUCUUCUCCAGGGUCCAGCAUGUCGUGAGCUCCUCCUCCUCCUUCUUAAAUUGCUGAUGCGAGUGUUUCCUGCAGCUAAACCCCGGAUCUAAGCUCGGGGACAGCAGGGCCUGUCUCUGCUCACCACGACACGAUCAGCCCAGAGAGUGGUGCCCGGAAGACCGUAGGGCUGGCUUCUGUGAGAACCCCUCAGCGUUGCUCCCGUGCCUCGUCCGGCGGCUCCCAGCUGCUGGCUCCAGGGCCGAGCCUCCGUGGCCUCCAAGGAAUCCACAUCAGUGGAGCUUUGCUGACAGCUAAUGAAGAGGAUUGAGAAGCCACUGUGGCAGCAUCAUGCUGAGUCCUGCUUGGUGAGUAAUCACUGUCCUACGUUAUGAAAAAGGUUAUCAAUCCAUUUAAUCCCCUGGGCCCCAAUCGCCUGGCUUAGGUCUGGGUACAGGUUGACCCUCAAUUCUUACUUGGAUGUAGAAGAGGAGGUCAUUUUCUCUUGGCUAGUCAGACUCUUGCAGAUGAAAUAAUAAAAAGUCUUCCUAGGAAUACGAUUCUACACACAAUUGAAAUUGAGUGUAACAAACACAUUGGAAGACAUGAGCAGGAAAAUUCCACUCUUCUGGGAAAGGAACAGCACCCAGUCUCCACCAGCAGCACUCUGUCUUCCAUCAGUAGCACUCAAUCUCCACCAGCAGCACCCAGUCUCCACCAGCAGCACUCUGUCUUCCAUCAGUAGCACCCAAUCUCCACCAGCAGCACCCAGUCUCCACCAGCAGCAUCCAGUCUCCACCAGCAGCACCCAGUCUCCACCAGCAGCACCCAGUCUUCCAUCAGCAGCACCCAGUCUCCACCAGCAGCACCCAGUCUCCACCAGCAGCACUCUGUCUUCCAUCAGUAGCACUCAAUCUCCACCAGCAGCACCCAGUCUCCACCAGCAGCACCCAGUCUUCCAUCAGCAGCACCCAGUCUCCAUCAGCAGCACCCAGUCUCCAUCAGCAGCACUCAAUCUCCACCAGCAGCACCCAUUCUUCCAUCAGCAGCACCCAGUCUCCACCAGCAGCACCCAUUCUUCCAUCAGCAGCACCCAGUCUCCACCAGCAGCACCCAGUCUUCCGUCAGCAGCACCCAGUCUCCACCAGCAGCACCCAGUCUUCCGUCAGCAGCACCCAGUCUCCACCAGCAGCACCCAGUCUUCCGUCAGCAGCACCCAGUCUCCACCAGCAGCACCCAGUCUUCCGUCAGCAGCACCCAGUCUCCACCAGCAGCACCCAGUCUUCCGUCAGCAGCACCCAGUCUCCACCAGCAGCACCCAGUCUUCCGUCAGCAGCACCCAGUCUCCACCAGCAGCACCCAGUCUCCACCAGCAGCACCCAGUCUCCAUCAGCAGCACUCAGUUUUCCAUCAGCAGCACCCAGUCUCCAUCAGACCAAGAUGGACAGUGGUUGAACUGAAGAGCCACUGAAACAGAGACUUUGGUUGUUCUUCAUUAGAGUGCACAGCUCCACUUCAAUGUUUAAAUUAGUCAGAUAUUUGAAAGCAAGGUGUUUUACUGGAGAUUGGAAGUGUUUGGAGCUGGUGGACACUGCCUCCACAGAGACUGCCUGAGGACACGAGGCGGGAGAGAAGGGAGCUGGGUUGGGAGACCUUGGGAGGCAGGUCAUUUGUGUGAAGGUGUUUCAGCUGCCAGAGCUGCGAGGAGGGGGCUCUCCAGGGGUGCUGUGGGUGGAGUGAGGCUCUUCCAAGGGUCCUGGAGCAGAUGGUGAUGCUGCAGAAAGGAGGUUUGAUGAACUCGUUUCCAGCGCCCCUUCCAACCCUGAAAUUAAUAAAAACAGGUCCCCUCUGGGAGUCAGCUCCAAAUCGGAUGCGUAGGAUCGCCACCCACUUCUCGUCCCUGGGCAAUGACCAGAGAACAAGGCCCCUCAUCAGCAUCUCCUCAACGGGCAUGGCAGUUAAUAAAUAACGGUCAGGUCUCUCACCCUCCAAUUCGUCAAAAACUCUGCGAACAGUUAAUUUUAUUAAUUCUUUUUGUCCUGUAUAACCUCUUAUGAGUGUUGUGUGCCAAAGAGGGAACACAGCGAGAACCGGGUUUAUAGGUCGUUUUUGGAGUCUUUGUAGCCACAAGCAUUUGAGGUUCUUGAGGACAGAGGAAGGUGUGCGUUUGUCUUUAUGUCUCCACCUCCUGACAGGGGCCCGUAGUCGGUGGUUAUUAGUCAAAAUUCCUUAAAUCCUGACCAGAGCGAUUCUUUCCAUGAGCCCAGGUCCGGGAGUUCACAGCCUCAGGCUCGGUGUCCGUACUCGGCAGGACUCAGUUCUGUCCGUAUGUAAUCAGAGCCUGAUUUUAUUUGUCCUAAAACAACUCCAUUUGGGUUUCAAAGAACGCCUCUGUGUUCCAGAGUCUCAUUAGUCUUGGUCACUUAGUUGGCUUGAACACAUUCCCUCUCGUUCUUUAUCUGCCGAGCAACUGCAAGACCCUCAGAUAGGGAGUGGACUCUUUUCAAUCUAAUUCAGUCCAAAUUAACAGUUGGGCACGUUUUAGUCACUAUUGCUGUGUGAUAAAUUAGUCCAAAACUUAGUGGCUUAAAAGAAAAAGCUUGCUGGGUCUCCCAGUUUCUGUGGGUCAGGAAGCCGGGCACGACUCAGCUGGUCCUCUCUGGGGGGGUCUCUGUGGGUCACAGUCGGGUGUCAGCAGGCUGCAGUCGUCCCAGGCAAGGCUGAGGGGCCACCCUCGUCCCGGCUCCCUCACGUGACUAGGGGCAGGCCUCCUGUCCGGCGGAGGCUGCCCGAGCUCCCAUGCUGUGUGAGCCUCUCCAUGGCUGCUCACAAGAUGGUUCCCUGGUGCCAGGGCUCUGAUAGCCACAGGGAGCUGGUGACCAAAAUCAUCAACUUUUGUGACCUAACCUCAGAAGUGACAUCCAACCACUUUUUGCUCUGUCGUAGUUAUGAUAAAAGAGUCGAUAGGUCCCGCCCGCAGGCAGGGCCAGGGGACCACGCAGGACGUGACGCCAGGACAUGGUAGAGGAGUCUCAGAGACUGCCCACCAGGAACCCUGCUAGCCAUGGGAGUCGCAAAGAUGAGUAAGAUGCCGUUCCCGGCCUCAGGGAUGUUAUCAUUUAGUACGAGAAGCAGAUAUAUAAACAGACUCACUUUGGCAUAGUAUUUAAGCCAAAUAAUUUUAAAAGGUAUAAUGGUAGCUCAGAGUGAGAUGAUUCAACUCUCUUGACAAAGGGUGGGGAGAGGGAAGGCAAGGAAGGCUUCCUGGAGGAGGUGAAGGAACUGGUAUUUAAAGAACAAAUAUCACUCCCCAACCCUAGACAGAGUUUACCGGGACCAAGUUGUGUUGAGAACUGGCUCAGCUGGCAGCCCCAGAGUUCACAGUGCUCCUUUCCCUCUGGGAAAUGUCUGCAUUUCUCAUCUAAAUGCCCCCAAGAAAUGGUUGAGAAUGAGUACAGCAGAGCACCAUGCUCUCCUCCAGUGGCAAUAUUAAUAUUAAAAGUACAUAACAGCAGCGUUUCAACAUUGGGACCCAGUCAGCCUGCAUUAUACUCUUGCCGAAAUAGCCUUGUAAACAUCAAAUUUCGAGAAAGUGAAGGAAAUUAUGUUAAUCAUAUUCCUAAGAGCACUCGAGCAUGAGGGCUGUUUAUUGAAAAUAUUGACAGGAAGAAAACAGCCUGUUGGAGUGAGCAUCCCUUCGGGCUUCCCCGGGAGUCACUGGGGGAAUUUGAAAGGUCCCCGCUUGAUGCUGGGCAGGCUGAUGGAGGAAGGGGGGCCGGCAGCUUGGUGCGGGGUCAGGACAUGAAGGGCCUGCAGUGAGAUCUCCAUCUUCAGACCUGGAGGGAUCCCCUACCCUCCCAGGGCCGGUCGGGGCCUCAGGGCUGGUGGCCGUCUCCCUGCCCGGCACGUGGGUGAGCAGCGGCACGGCCAAGAAGGAAGGGGCUGCCCAGACGCCCUCAGGUGGGCCUUCCUGGCAGCAGGUGUCCAGGGCUCACCUGCACCUGUGGGGAGGCCACCCGAUUGGAGCCCUGGGUCCCCUGGGCUUCCGCCUCGCCCCAGCCUUCCACUGCAGUGUUCACCAGCAGGCAUCCUCUUGGACCCCGCUCCCUGGGUGCCAGGAUGGCAUCAUCUUAUCUCUGGUUUUCUGAGUCUAGGAUGGUGCAUGGUUCAGAGUGCUUACCCGUCACAAUUCACUGAAAAUAGCAUCUAAUUGGGCAAGUCAUCGGUAGGCCAUCUCAACUCUAUAAGAGGGAGAAGAAAGAGAACAUUCCAGAAUACAGAGCUACACUUCUGUCCCUCCAUCUGUUGACAGAGUUGCUGCUGUUGGAGGUGAGUGUACAGCUCUGAGGACAGACUCCGAUCAGCUGCCUGCGCUGGCCUGGGCUUUGUGAUCCUGGACUCACAUCCCUGAUCUGCGGGGAUGGAGACGACGAAGCCACAUGCCACAGCAUGUGGAAGGGAUUUAUUGUGCUCUUCAUGCCCAGGCUCGAUGAGCGCCUGCACGAGGAGGGUCAGGGAUGGGGAGCCGUCAUUACUACCUUGCUGCAGCACCCGGUACAUAAUUUAACCCUGUCCUGGUUUCAAUGAGUCUUAAGAAAAGCCGACUUGAACUGAAUUAAGCAUAGGUGGGGUCCAGGAGCAGCAGGUGGGACCAGACCCAGGAAAGUAACAGGAAGGUGCCCGGACAGAUGGCCUCCCAGCCGCGUCGUCUCUCAUCUCUUGCUGCUUCCUUCUGUCUGUCUGUCUGUCUCUCCCUGCGGACUGGCCACUUCCGACGUUCUGCGGGUGCGGCUGAAGAAGGCUGCCCCAUGGCUCGGCAGUCACCAGGCCCCAUAAAAGGACCUAGAGAGAGAAUCUGAAGUGGCCCCACUUGGCCAGACUUGCCCUUCCUGGUCCAAACAGCAGGGCUGGGGCCACGGGUCAUUGGCACAGAAGUGUCUCUGAGACUCGUCUCUCUGGACGAGGAAGAGCAGCUCUCAGAAAGGGGCACCGCUACGCCCAGAAGACGUGGGCUACACACUCGAACGUGACCCUGUUCAUUAUGAUUUAUCAGGACGCCUUCGCUCCCCUUUGAGUUAGGGAAACAGACUCAGAAAGGCCUGCUGUUAUUUUGGGGUUUGGGGGUUAUAUGUAAUUUGUGUUUUCUUCUUCAUGCUUUUUAUUCUGUUUUCUAAAAUUUUUGCCAUGAGCAAAUAUGGCUUUUAUAAAAAUAAAACUUUAUCAAGGUGCUUAGCUUCCCUCAGUCACAGCUCCUCUGGGAGUUCUUGGAGGUGACAGAUACUGCGGGCCACCCACUCAGUGCUGGUGACUUUGGGAGGGCUGAUUGGGGUGGUGAUGAUGGAGGUGGGCGAGUGGCCCCCGGUUGGGGGAAUGAGUGUCUAUCAGCACAGUCUGGCUCUAUCUUGGUUGCAGCAUUCAGCUGAGGCCUUUCUAUGGGUAAAUCAUUAUGACUUGUUUAAAAAUACCCUAUUCGAACCCAUAAAAUGCCCGAUAUUUACAUUCGGUUAAAAAUAGCUUCUUUAUUAAAAAGGAACUUAAAAAAAUUCCCUGAAAGUUUUUAAGAAAUCUAUAAAGGGAAGACACUUGCAGAAGUGGUUAAUUAUAUACUUCUGUAAAGCUGUUGGGGCGUGUUUAUUAUUUUGUUUUUGGAAUUAGAUGUGAAAUUCGUGAAUGAGAACAAUGGCAGCUGACAAAAGCAUCAGGAAGGAAGUCAGCACAAAUUGAGGGCUAACAACCUGUAAAGAAGAAGAUCGUGCAGAAGGACAGGCUGGUCCUGGGCUGGGUCUGGGUGAGCCCCUCCUUGGAGGGAAGCGAAGGGGAUAUAACCUGAUCGUGGACACAGUUAUGGUGUCGAGGUUCCAGUGCCCACUGACCCAUGUAGGAACUCUGCUCCCUGCACAAUUUCCCCAGAAUAUUUUAUUUUCUUUGAUGUUCCCAGAGGUGUCUCACCUGAAAUAACAGGCCUAGGGACCUGCACUGGUAGCUGCUUCCUUCUUCCACUCUCCACUGCGUCAGGCACCCCUGCCUUCAGGAAGUGCCCCUCCACCAACUCUACUAGGCUUGAAGGGGUGGCUCCUUUUGUGGCCACCUCUGCCACUCCACCUGGAUGUCACUGGACUAGCCUGGCACUACGUCUCUGCGAGGCACCUGCCUGCUUGUCCUGGCGUCUCUGCUGUGCUGGCUGGUGCCCCUGGCGUGCACAAGCUCUUAGGCUGCGAGAACCAAGGAUGCUUGGUGAUAAACUGCAGGAGGCGGGCAUUCCUCUCCUCGAUCUCACAGAGAUGGAGAGGGCUGGCUUUCUGUUUUUAAUUCUAUUUUCUCUCCCCAUCCUAGGACUCGUGUUUUGGCCUGUGAGACUCUGUUCCUGGAGAUAAACAGCAAUGUCAUGUAACUCAUCCACUUGAACUCCGUCUUCUCCCAGCCUGAGCUCUCUCCCCGGAGGUGGCUCAGCUCCUCACGCAGUGGAGUUGGGCAGGCCCCCUUGCCUUUGCUCAGCGUGCCCAGAGACGUGUGAUCCCAGGGCCAGUGUGGCUUCCACUCCCCCUGCCUCGUCCCAUGUCUCUGGGCUCUGCUGGGGGCUGCCCCCGACUCCACUCCAAGUGUGGGCCUCCACGCUCUGUGAGCCAUGCAUGUGUCUAAACCCAAGACCUGUCUAGUGCUUCCUGAGCACCUGCUGCCCACGGGUGCUGUUUCUGUCACUUUUAUAUUGGCUGCCUCAACCAUAUUCUCACAAUGGGGCCCAUAUUUUUGUUAUUGGGGAAAUAAGAUUCAGAGUGAUUAAGUUAUCAAGUUUGUAGACUGAGUAGUGUGGUCCCUGCAGUGUGGACAGAGACUCAGGAUCCCCGUCAGCACGGUCAGCUCAGAUCCCCAAGCCCUUUCUCCCCAGCGCCAGCCCAUCCCAGGAAAGGCACCACCAGCCACCCGAGUCCUCCAACCAGAGGCUUCACUCUUUCCCUCGCCCCCUCACCGGGGCCACCUGCAGGUCCCAUUGGCUCCACCUCCUAAGGAUGCUCCAUCCUCCUGAGUCUCCUGCUCUCCCGCCUCCACCUAAAACGAGUUAGGAUCCGCCCACGCUCCACGGCUGUCUAGUCUGUGAAGUAACUUUUCCAUUUCUGCUCAUUGGAGCAAUCCUUCAAUAACGUAAGUGAGAUUGUGUUACUUCUCUGCCUCAACUUCUCCAUGACUCUCCCCAUUGCGCCCACGAUGAAACCUGAGCCCUGAUGCCUGCUUCUUCUGGCUCUUCCCAGCUUGACUCUUGUCUCACCCCACUCUCCUCGCAGCUCCUGGGCUGAGCUGCUGGGGACUCCUUUCUGUGUCCCAAAUACCCCAAGCUUUCUCCCAAUUCCCGGCUUUUUCCUCUGUUGCUCCUUCCUGGAAUUUUCUUCUUCCAGCUUGUCACGUGGCUGUAUAAUUAUCUGUUUGCCUUGAGCAAAUGUCCCUCCCAGAGGCCUUCCCUGACCACACCACUCUCAGUCGUCUCCCGUCUGCCCUCCCCCUCCCCCUGGCUGGGAUAUUAGAAGCUUCUUGCUUGCAAAUUACAAAACCACAGCCCGAAAUGGCUUAAGGAAAAUGGGAAUUCACUGCUCCUGUAAUGGGGGAGUCAGAGAAGGACUCUUCAGACACUCCCUUCUCCAUCUCUCAGCUGGUCCCUCGGCCCUGGCCUGAUCUCCUCCUGUUUCAGGGGUCAUUCUCCAUGUGCUCAGGACCCAGGGCAGUCAGUAGCUUCAGGUUUACGUUGCCCCUCUUUAGCUACUGGUAUAAACAGCGACUCUUUUCCUGGUCUCCUAAGGAAAGGUCCCAGGUAGGAACUGCAUUGACCUGGCUGCAGCCUGGGUUAUCCUGGAACUGAGUUCCAUGGAUGAAAUGACGCUGAGCUCUGACUGGUCAGCACAGGUCAUUUGCUCACCCCCAGAGCUCAGUGCGGGCAGCUCUGCCCCCUCAUCCGCAGGGACUAAGAACGCAAGAGGGAUGGGUCUCCAAAGGGAAAAUGACGAGACUGGUGGAUUGAUGCUGGGCGUGAGAAACUGGGUACUCACAGCGUCGGUCUCUAUGUCAGUACCCUGUUUAUCUUCGCAUGAGGCAAAAUAGUCUGCCAUUUUCCCUUAUUUGUUUUAUUUGUUAGUAUCUCCCACUGGAACAUAAGCUCAAUAAAACAGGGGUCUUGAUUUUAUUUUUGAAAGCCCUGUGGGAUGUGGUUGACAACAAACGCCUGUUGAGUGAAUGAAUAAUGGAAGAAAUGCAGAAUUUGAACUAGGACUCAAACCCAAGUUCUUCGACCCCAGAUUUGCUCCUCUUCCUCUCUCAUCUCACUUCUCUGUUCUUAAACUCACCAACUCAUAUGCUCCCUCUGGGUUUGCAGUUACCAUAAAGGUGCCCGUGUGUCCUGGCGUCAAUGAACAUGGCCUGCCGUUGGUCUGUGGGUCACCAAGAGAAGAGCUGAUGGAGGGUUGGUUCUCUCCAUCCUCUCCACGUAGAACAGUGGUGAACGCAGAAGUCGCUAGUCUGGGUUUGAAUGAUUAAGUGGAUGAAUUCGAUCCAGGAGCUUUCGUCUCGUCAUUUUCCGUAGUGAUACCACAAAGCGUCGUAGAGCCCCUAACUUUGUUUACUCAGUCUCCACUUCACCACCGGCAAAACACUAAUAUUGAUUUACCUGUCUCAUAAGGCUGUUGGAAUAUUCAUUAAGCUCUUCUCUGCAUCAUGAAAAUAUUCUUUUCCACCUGUGAUUAGAUUACGGGAAGACUCUGUCUCCCGAUUUGGCUGAACAACGCUGGCAGAGAUUUCUGGCUGUUUGUCAAAGGUCGUGUUUCUUCAUCUUGGACGCACAACUGGACGACUCCCCAGCCUCUCUUGCAAUGAGGUGCGGCAUUGUGACUUAAUGUCAGUGCCUGGAUGUGAGCACAGGUGCAGGGGCCGCUGCUGGGCCUGGCCCAAGGAGAGCUCCAUGCAUGUCCCCCAAGCAUGUCCCCCAUCCUCCCCCUGACGUGGAGAUAGGUCUCAAGCAACGUGGGGGCCCCUUAUUGGAGAUGGAGUCUGCUCAGCCUGAGCCCCCGAAUGACCGUGUCCUGCUGGCCUCUUGGCUCUCCAAGUCCUGUUACACGGUGAGGAGUGAGCGUCCGCUGUGGGAGAGCCAUUGCACUUCUGCUGGUUUGUUUGUUGUGUUGAGUAGUUCCUGACUUCGCUCCCUGAUGCCCAGUGAUCUGAUGAGGAGACUCCAGUGAAAUCUCAGUCUUCUGAUUUGUUUUUUUGGGUUUUUUUUUGAGGAAGAUUGGCCCUGAGCUAACAUCUGUUGCCAAUUUUCCUCUUUUUGUUUGAGGAAGAUUGUUCCUGAGCUAGCAUCUGUGCCAAUCUUCCUCCACCUUAUAUAUGGGACACCGCCACAGAGUGGCCUGAAGAGCGAUGUGUAGAUCCACGCCUGGGAUCCGAACCUGCAAAACCCAGGCCACCGAAGCGGAGUGUGUGAACUUAGCCACUAUGCCACCAGGCCAGCCCCUCAAUCUUCUGAUUUUUGUUAAAGAGAAAUGAUAAAAAGUAGUGCCUAGAGGCUAAUUGAAUGAACAGAAAUAUGGAAAUAAAUAUCAUGGCUAUUUCCAGAUGUCAACUAGAGUGAGAUGAUACAUACAUACAACAUCUAUUCAUUUACUUGUACAAUAUGGAUCUAUAUUGUCAUGUAUAUAUAAAUAUAUAAGAUUAUAUAACAUUCCAACUUAAUUUCAGAGGCUGGAAUCUAAGAAGACCCCAUUAUCAAGCAACAUUGUACUUCAAAAACUAGCACCUUAUCUUUGAAGCUGGGCUCAGCAUUUUCCAACACAAUUAAUUGCAAUAACAGCAUAAAAGAUGAUAAAAACUAAAAUAUUCUUAGAAAAAGUGGUGUUAUGUGAUAAUUAAACAAACUAAUUAAGAACGUUUAGGGCCUCAAUUUUUGAUUCCUGCUCCCAAAGAUUGAAAGAGAGGGCGAGUGGCAUCUGAGGGGCCUGAAGUGCUGUUUAGGUCACGUGUGGCGACAGCUGGGAUCCCCUCCUCCACUGUCCACAACUUCAUCCUGUCUGGGGUCCUGUCCUCUGGGACGGCGUUGGCGCAGCCUUGGGUCUCCUUAAGCCCUCCUUGGCAGGGAGGACCUGAAAGAGAUGACACGUUCUUUGUGACAAGCUCAGGGCUGCAUUUGGGCAUCCCGAAGUAUUCAGCGAAUGGAAACUGGAGGUGUGAUAGAUUGAGAACAGGCUCCCUGGAGAAACAGGACCAGUAAAGCACACGUAUAAGGAGUUGGCUCACCCAGUUACAGAGGCUGGCAGGGCCACUCUGCAAGGUGGGCCAGCAGCCUGAAGACCACGGGAGAGCCAAGGUUGCGAUAAAGUCCGAAGGUGUCUGCUGGAGAACUCUCUCUUACUUGGGGGAGGGUUGGUUGGUCUUUUUCUUCAAUUCAGGGUUUUAACAAAUUGGCUGAGGCCCGCCCACAUUGGGGAGAACAAUCUGAUUUACUCAGUCUUUCGAUUUAAAUAUUAGUCUCGAUUUAAAUGUUAAUCCAAAAAUACCCUUGUAGAAACACCCAGAAUAAUGUUUGUCCAAAUAUCUGAACACCCUUUGCUCAGUCAAGCUGGCACAUAAAAUUAACUCUCUCAAGGGAACAGUAAACUUUUUCAAUAAAGGAUCAGAUAGUAAAUAUUCUAGGUUUGAGGACA